rnacentral:rRNA from 1 species
UUGGAACCUAGAAUGAAUGGUUAAAUUAUUAAAUACAGGUUUGUGAUAUUUAAUAGUAGAUUAAAGAUAAAGUAAGAAUUCUUUAAUUAGUAAAUGGACGACAAGACCCUAAAAGCUUUAUAAUUAGAUUGACUAUAAGGAUUUGAGAUAAAAUUAGUUUGCUGGGGCAGUAUACUUUUAAAUGAAGUGAAGGUUAAAAAGGUCUUUAUAUGAGGGUUAAUAUGUUAGUUACUUUAGGGAUAACAGUGUAAUGUAUUUGUAGAGAUCUUAUCGAUAGGUACGAUUGCAACCUCGAUGUUGAAUUAGAAUGUCUAAGUGGAGCAAAAGUUACCAUAGAAAGUUUGUUCAACUUUUAAAUUUCUACAUGAUCUGAGUUCAAACCGG